AAUGAGUAAAUAAGGUCUUCAGAACUUUAGACCAAGGAGGAAUGGCAUUUUGUCCGAGAAGGGUGGAUCCGAGUACUUUCCGGUGAGUAUUUGUGAUGAAACAUACUGAUUUGCAGCUUCCGAAUAAUGAAUUCCGUCCCAGUUAACAUAUUCUGAACUGUCACUGCAUGCUUUGGCUGUCAUUGUGGUUCCAUUCAAGACUUCUGUUUUCCCGCAACCGAUCCGGCUGUCGUAAUUCAACGGUGGACCUCCAUAUCCGCAGCAAACCAUUAUUGGCUGCUCAAAUCCUGCAAAACAGUAAGAACUCCAACUCAUUUUGAUUCCAUACUUUUACUUCUCAUCUACCUUUGUCACAUUGAAAAUGAAUUCGGAACUCUCCAAAGUCCAAAGUACUGAAUCGUACAUACCGAAUUUGGAAUAAUUUGCUAUAAGGUUCCAUUUUAUCGUGUAGAUGUCAACAUAUGUGAAGUUCGAGCCCGCAUACUGGCCCUGCAAUUUUUUACAGAGGGUAUGAAGUUGCAGAUUGAAGACUUUAGCAGCUUGGUU
rnacentral:lncRNA from 1 species